rnacentral:rRNA from 1 species
UACGAAGGGGGCUAGCGUUGUUCGGAAUUACUGGGCGUAAAGGGCUCGUAGGCGGCCAACUAAGUCAGACGUGAAAUCCCUCGGCUUAACCGGGGAACUGCAUCUGAUACUGGAUGGCUUGAGUUCGGGAGAGGGAUGCGGAAUUCCAGGUGUAGCGGUGAAAUGCGUAGAUAUCUGGAGGAACACCGGUGGCGAAGGCGGCAUCCUGGACCGACACUGACGCUGAGGAGCGAAAGCCAGGGAAGCAAACGGG